rnacentral:rRNA from 1 species
GAUGAACGCUAGCUACAGGCUUAACACAUGCAAGUCGAGGGGAAACGACAUUGAAGCUUGCUUCGAUGGUCGUCGACCGGCGCACGGGUGAGUAACGCGUAUCCAACCUGCCUCUGACCAAGGGAUAACCCGUCGAAAGUCGGCCUAAUACCUUAUGCAGUCGUCGGAAGUCAUCUGAUGACGACGAAAGAUUUCAUCGGUGAGAGAUGGGGAUGCGUCUGAUUAGCUUGUUGGCGGAGUAACGGCCCACCAAGGCAACGAUCAGUAGGGGGUCUGAGAGGAAGGUCCCCCACAUUGGAACUGAGACACGGACCAAAAUCCUACGGGAGGCAGCAGUGAGGAAUAUUGGUGAAUGGGCGAGAGCCUGAACCAGCCAAGUAGCGUGCAGGAUGACGGCCAUAUGGGUUGUAAACUGCUUUUAUGCGGGGAUAAAGUGAGGGACGUGUCCUUCAUUGCAGGUACCGAAUGAAUAAGGACCGGCUAAUUCCGUG